UUUUUACGGAGAGUUUGAUCCUGGCUCAGGACGAACGCUGGCGGCGUGCUUAACACAUGCAAGUCGAACGAUGAAGCCCAGCUU
rnacentral:rRNA from 1 species